rnacentral:rRNA from 1 species
UACGUAGGGUGCGAGCGUUGUCCGGAAUUAUUGGGCGUAAAGAGCUCGUAGGCGGUGUGUCACGUCGGCCGUGAAAACCUGCAGCUUAACUGUGGGCGUGCGGUCGAUACGGGCAUCACUGGAGUUCGGCAGGGGAGACUGGAAUUCCUGGUGUAGCGGUGAAAUGCGUAGAUAUCAGGAGGAACACCGGUGGCGAAGGCGGGUCUCUGGGGCCGAUACUGACGCUGAGGAGCGAAAGCGUGGGGAGCGAACAGG